AUCGGUUUGCACUUCGAACAGAAUGCCUGGUCUGGGGCUCAGUGUAUUAUUAGCUAUUUGUUUAGGAAGUGCUCGGUCGCAGGUGGUUCUGACAGAGACCGGUGGGGAUGUGAAGAAGCCCGGAGAGACCCUCAAGCUGACCUGUAAAACCUCCGGGUUCACGUUCAGUAGCUACUGGAUGGGCUGGAUCCGGCAGCAGCCUGGGAAGGGGCUCGACUGGGUCGCCAGAAUUAGUCCUGAUGGCAGUAGUAAUAAAGACUACUCCCCUUCGGUAACGGGUCGAUUCACAAUCUUCCGGGACAAUUCACAAAACCUCCUUAAUCUGGACAUGAGAAGCCUCAAACCAGAAGACACGGCGACGUAUUACUGUACGAGAGACACAGCGAUGAGAGUGAAUGAGGGACCCGGGCAGUAA